rnacentral:rRNA from 1 species
GCAAUGGACAAAAGUCAGACGCAGCGACGCCGCGUAGGCGAUGAAGGCCUUCGGGUUGUAAAGCCCUUUUAUGGGGGAAGAGAAAAAGGACGGUACCCCAGGAAUAAGUCCCGGCUAACUACGUGCCAGCAGCCGCGGUAAAACGUAGGGGACAAGCGUUAUCCGGAUUCACUGGGCGUAAAGAGCGUUGAGGCGGUUCCGUAAGUUGGGCGUGAAAGCUCCGGGCUUAACUCGGAGAUGUCGUUCAAUACUGCGGGGCUUGAGGACAGCAGAGGAAGGUGGAAUUCCCGGUGUAGUGGUGAAAUGCGUAGAUAUCGGGAGGAACACCCGUGGCGAAGGCGGCCUUCUGGGCUGUUCCUGACGCUGAAGGCGAAAGCUAGGGGAGCGAACGGGAUUAGAUACCCCGGUAGUCCUAGCUGUAAACGAUGGAUGCUGGGUGUGGGGGGUGUAAAUUCCCUCUGUGCCGAAGCAAACGCGUUAAGCAUCCCGCCUGGGGACUACGGCCGCAAGGCUAAAACUCAAACGAAUUGACGGGGGCCCGCACAAGCAGCGGAGCGUGUGGUUUAAUUCGAUGCUACACGAAGAACCUUACCUGGGUUUGACAUGCACGUGGUAGGGAGCCGAAAGGGGACCGACCUUCGGGAGCGUGCACAGGUGCUGCAUGGCUGUCGUCAGCUCGUGCCGUGAGGUGUCGGGUUAAGUCCCGUAACGAGCGCAACCCUUGCCCUUAGUUACAAGUGUCUAAGGGGACUGCCCGGGACAACUGGGAGGAAGGUGGGGAUGACGUCAAGUCAGCAUGGCCUUUAUAUCCAGGGCUACACACACGCUACAAUGGCCGGUACAAUAGGUUGCGAAGUCGUGAGGCGGAGCCAAUCCUCAAAGCCGGUCUCAGUUCGAAUUGCAGUCUGCAACUCGACUGCAUGAAGCUGGAGUUGCUAGUAAUCGCAGGUCAGCUAUACUGCGGUGAAUACGUUCCCGGGCCUUGUACACACCGCCCGUCACGUCAUGGAAGCUGGCAACGCCUGAAGCCGGUGAGCUAACCCGAAAGGGAGGCAGCCGUCGAGGGUGGG